rnacentral:lncRNA from 1 species
GCCGUGUAAUGGUCUCAAGACUGCGGAGCAUGUUCACGCACAGCAUGGACACCACUUCAUGUAGGGGCACUGGACUGCCUAGAGUUGGAGGAAGGGACCCUGUUCUCACAUCGCUUUCCUGUUUCCCUCUCCUGCAAUAUGGAUUUGACAUAUUAAUCAUUACAGCAACUGCUAAAAUUCCACUGUGCUUCAUUAAUCCGGAGGAAAAUACCAUGUCAGCUGGUAAGUGCUGUAGGGUAUGCUCAUAUGUUUUUCCUGGGGUCCAUGGUAGUGGAAAUUUCUCCGUUUCUAUGAGAAACAAAACAGGAGGCCAUAUGGAAGGCCACAGUGAGCACGGGUGGUGGAUGGACACAGGGAGGGUGGGAAUGUGGGUGGGCACCAGUCCCUGAAGGCAUUAAGUCACCCAUCACGGACCCUGACAGACCCUGGGCUGUUCAAGGACUCUAGUCAGAGAGGUUGAGUUGUAAAAUCCUAGUAUGGUUGCCAAGACCAGAACAGUGUGACUUUAAUAAGGUUAAAGUUUGGCAUUUUUACAGCUUUCAUUAUGAUAAGGUUUUCAGUCACAUGACAGGGAAAGAGCUAGAGAGGGUCCAUCCAAACACAGCCGGUCAGACCUCAAGGUGUGGCCGGGCAUGGCCUCCUGCCAGCUCCCCAGGGGUUCCUCAUGCUGCAGGGCCGGCUUUCUAGCUGCAGUUUCUGCCCUGCUGGUGGAGAAAGCCUGCUCCUAUCUUUGGCCUCUGGGACUAAUUGGGGAAAUGAAUUCAGGCAGCUAUUUUCAGACAGAAAGAGCCCUUGGCUGACUUAGAAGCAAAUGCCCCAUUCUUUGGCCAAAGGUGUCACCCUGACCUUGGUCAGCAAUCAAGCCACCAGCUACAGUGAGAGCAGAGGAGACUGUUCUACUCCCAAAGAACUGAGGGGGUUCGAUGCUUUGGUUAAUGCCCUCCAGCCUAGAAUACAUACUCUAUUAUCCAUCUGGAUUUGUCCAUCCUUCAAACAUCUGCUCCUCUGGAGGCCUUUCCUGAUUUCAUCCUCCCUUCCUGGCCCCAGGAAGAAUUCAUCCCUUCUCACUCCCAUGGAGCUUAGGCCAUACUUCUCAAGCAGCAGCUAUUUCAGUGCCAUGAGUUCCUUGAGAAAGUGCCUUCAGCCCCACUAGACCCGUAGCUCUCCAUUUACGAUUCACCUGUGCCUAGUUUUUCUUUGAAUACUCAGCCCAUAGUACAGUGCCUAACACACAGUAGGUGCCCAUAAAUGAUGACUGAGAGAAAAAUUUAGCUGGAGGCACAUCCCUUACACUGGGAAGAAGGCUUAAAUGUCAUGUCCUCCAUGCUUGGAUCAUCUUUGCCCAUGAAGAACAGGAGAAAGUAUAAUUUCGAAAUAGGUUACUAGUUUCUCAAAGUUGGAAUUUGCAUGGGUUCCUGUAUCUAUAGCAUCUACCAUCAUGUGUCCACUAGUGUAAAUUUCAAAUGCAUUAAUGAUCUCAUCUAUACCCAUUGUGUCAUAAUGUCGACUCAUUUAGAAAAUUCUUUAUUCAAACUGGACAAUUCAAAUCAACACCAUCAAUUAUAUAACUACCCUGUGUCACAGCCAGCACUAGGCCAUUCAGAAAUACAGAAUUAAGAAGUCCCUGUCCAAAGGAGUAGAGUCUAGUCGCCAAAGAGAUAUAGUCAAGUGUUAAGUGCAUAUGAGGUCAUGGUUUGCAUGCUGGCUGUGUGCUGUCAUGCAGGCACACAAAGAUAAGGGCACAGCAUGUUCCCUUGAGAAGUUUAUGGUCCAGCUGAGGAGCUAAGCCAUUCACUAAUAAAAAACCCCAAACCGCAGCUGAGUACGUACCAGGUAUACAGAGAUCCCUUAGACCACAGCUCCCAGGAUCAUGGCGGGUAGCCCCUCUCUGGACCCACAGGUGUGUGAGAACUACCAAUGGGAGAAGGGCUUGGCCCUUCCUAAUGCUUGGAGUCUGAUGGACUCCAAAGGCCACUGUGUUUUGGUGCAGAACUGGAGUUUUUCUCAUGGGCCUGGGACUGACCUGAACCAUCAGUGAUGCUAUGGAGCGGAACUGACUCUUCAGCUAGGCCCUGAGAGACCCCUCCAUCAGGGCUCCUUGGAUGAGGGAUGCCCAGGCCUGGGCUUGACCUCCCAAGGUUAUUUUGGACCAUAAUGAGCCCUGCUUCUGGCACACCCUCGGCUCAGAACCAGCCCAGAACUUCACUGGAUGCUACAGGAGGCAGGAGCAUUGGUGGAUGACCUUCAGAAGUGGGCAGUGCUGCUUAAGGGGGAGGAAUCACCCCCACUUCACCUCCACAGCACGUAAGCUUUGCAAUUAGAGACCAGGGACCAGUAGAACUUGGAGGAUGGCAGCGUGACACUGGAACUGGCCUCCCACUCUGCUCUGACUGGCUUUCCCCGAGUACUGGAGAUGUGAGAAGAUAGUCAAAGCCAACGGCAAGGGGUUGGGGGCUGAGAAUUGUCCCCUUUGCUUGACCAAGGGCCAAGGGACAAAGUAGCAGGGUCCAAGGAGGCACCUCUCUCACAUGGAGGGGAAUCAGGCUCUAUCACUACAGAAUAAGUGUCCUCAGUUGGAGGCCCUCCCUGCCCGGGGGAGGGAGAUAUCCUUGGCAGUGCCGCUCCUGGCCCCCACAGUUCUCUCAGCUGAGCCGAGAAGCAAUUCUCCUUUGCCCCUGGCCACUCCUCACUCGUGAGUGGGGAGCGUGACUCACAUCUGUGGGGAGGGCAGGCACAGUUAGGUGAGCCUCAUUCAAAUGCCAGGCAGACGCAAAUAGCACGCUUUCCUAUGAAUAGCUUCCCCAGCUGUUCUGCGGGAGGCUGAGCGCGUCCUUAUCCAAAGUACGUUUGCCCUGUUCUUAUUUAUGAGCCGAAUCGGGAACCAUGGGCUGCCUACCUUUGGCCCCUCAAGGCCAGCUUUGUGUUCUUUGUUCUCUAAAGUCUCACCCAAGUGAAAUAUUAACUGGUGGUGGGACAAAAGGGCCUGGUGCCUCUGAAGGCAGGGCUGGUGGAGAAGGAUGCCUGGAGGGUGUGUUGUUCCCUGACCUGGAAUUUUCCAUUCCUCUUGUGCUCACAUGACCAGGGCAGUGCUUUCUUCAAGUCACAAAAUGAAGAUGGCUGCCAGGGUGGCUGGUGCUAAAAAACCAGAUAGUGGUGGCCAUGGCUGUUAAUGGCACCAUCAUCACUGAUGAUAAUAAUCUCAGUGGUACAGCCUGAUGGAAGCUGUUAGGCCUGAGUGCCAGGAGGCCAGGGCCGUGGCCAUGGCUCUGCCUCCACAGCAGCCUGGAGAACCUUGGGGAAGCCACUAGAUGCCUUGGCCCUCUACUCCUCAGCUGUAACACGGGGAGGCUGGGAGCACAGAGGUCCUUUCCUGCUCUGAUGAUCUCUGCAUUUAUGAACUGCAUUGAUAGCUGGUCACAGUAGCUGUAUUGCUUUAUCUGUGAGGAGUUAUUAGGGUGCAUCCUCCACUACCUUUGUACCUCUCUUUCCCUUCUCUCCAUCUGCCUCACUGUUUCUUGGCCUCAUUCCCUUUAUCUCACUUCCUUCAUCUUUAUCUUCAGGCCGAGGACUUCUAAGCUAGACUACACAUUGAUUCAGUGUCUUUUGAAUCAAGAGGGCCCACCUCUGCCACUUUCUAGUUCUGCCACUUCCUAGCUAUGUGACCUAAGCCAAAUUAUUUUGUUUCUCUACAUAUCAAUUUCUUCAUCUAUAACAAGGCAAUCGGGUUAGGGCUUUUGUAAAUAUCGCACAUAGUGUCUUGUAUGUGAAGGCUCCACGGAUAGAAGGCAUGGCAUGUUUAACAUGUGAAAAUUGGCAUACAUAAAGAACUCAUCUUUCCUCCUGGAGACCUCCUUCUGUCUCUGUUUCUGUUACCAGGGAUACUCUCCUCCGAAUUAUUGGGGUUUGGGGUUGAUGUCAGCUUGCCUUUUUUGUCCCCUUGUUCCCUCCAGUAUGUGUCUCCAGAAGCCUUCCUUUCCAUUCCUGUGGGGUCUGACAGUUGUGGGAAGAAGGCCUGCAGGUCCAGGGCCGAGCAGGGGCCUCCACUGUCUGCUGAGGUGGGGAUACUAUCUUUGGGAAUCACUGGAAGUUUUACUUACACAGGGACUUUGCCUGGGGGUGGUGAAGGGAUUGGUUUAAAUCAUUGUUGACUGGCCAGGAUUUCCUGAAGGUGAACGUGGACCUCAUUGACUGGGGCCAAACAGACCUGAGUACACUUUCUUGGACUUGCUGCUGACCUCCUUACUGUCCAGAGUCUACCUGGUGCGUUCAUGUUCCCUACACACUGCAGGUUGUGCAUGAGGAUGUCUUUCAGGGUGACACUGGCUUGAAAAGUUAAGGGAGGCAGCCAGGUGCAGUGGCUCAUGCCUGUAAUCCCAGCACUUUGAGAGACCAAGGCAGGCAGAUCCCUUGAGGCCAGGAGUUCUAGACCAGCCUGGCCAACAUGGUGAAAUCCCAUUUCUAUGGGUGUGGGAGCCUGCACUUAUAAUCCCAGCUACUUGGGAGGCUGAGGCAUGAGAAUUGCUUGAACUCAGGAAGUGGAGGUUGCAGUGGGCUGAGAUUGCGUGACUGCCCUCCAGCCUGGAUGACAGAGCGAGACUCGUCUCAAAAAAAAAAAAAAAAGAAAAGAAAAGAAAAAAGAAAGAAAGAAAAGUUAAGGGAGGCAGGUACUUCCAGAAUAGCCCAUAUUACUCUUUGGGAAAAAAUUUUUUUAAUUGCUUCCUCUAGAAGAUGUUGCUCUGUGGGCACAUAGCUUAGUGGAAUAUAAGCUGGGUUUCAGUACCCACUUGCCCCCUUAGUGCAGAGCCUUUGUGCAAGAUACAACCUGCCCAGUCUCAAGUGAGACCUUAACUCCCAUUCCAGACCCUGGCACUCACUCAUUAGAUUCCAAGUUCCAUGAGGACAGGGUCCAUGUCUCCUUCAUCAGUGAGGUCCCAGGGCCUAGCAAAGGGCCUGGCAUGAUGCAGAUGCUCAAGAAAUAUUACUGGAUGUUGAAUGAAUGGAUGAAUGAAUGAACAAUGCCUUGUAGCUAGGAAUGCCUGGUGUAGUUGGUACCAAAGAGCUCUGAGGGCAAUAAAGUGGGGCAGUUAAGAGCAUGUGCUUUGGAAUCAGAAAAGACUGAGUCUGGAUUUUGCCCUACCUCUUAAUAGAUGUAUGAUCUUAACUGAGUCUGACUUCCUUCAUCUUUAAAAUAGGGGUGUAAUAACACCUAACCCAUUAGUGUUAUAAUGAGGCUUCAAUGAGAUGAUAUAUGUAAAGCACAUAUAUUAGUGUUUGGCCAAUGGUGAAGUUGUAAAUGAUGCUUCCUGGAGAGCACUAAGGAUAGCAUUUCCCCGGGGGCCUCCCCAUCCGAACUGCUUUAGGGUUCCCAUACCAAGUAGCCUUCCCAGUCAUUCUCAGUAUGCAUCUCGGAUAUGGAGUGAGGCAGCUUGUGGCUGCAGUGAUUUGUUUGCUCUUGGCACCCAUCCACAUAAACUUACUGGGGCUUCAAAACCCAUUAGGCACUCAAGCAUUCAGUGCUUCAUGCAUUUCCCAGAGAAUGCUUGAUUUUUGUUGCUUAGAUUACAAAUAUGUCCUACGAUUUACUGCUUCCCAUUACUGUACCCCUACUUACUCUUUUUCUUGGUCUUGGAUACCUGCCACCAUCAUUUAGCUGAUCUCAUGCUAUCAGCAAAGGCAAGGAAAACAAUAGCUUCUCUACAGGACUUUGCCCUCCCACAGCCUCAGGGGCCACAGAUCCUACAUGCUGGGCUAGAAAACACAUGUCCCCAGCUUCUGAAGAUGUUCAGUUGAGAAAUAUAAUACAGGCACACACUCACUGCUGCUGCAUCUGUUUUUUUGAAGCCCACAGCAGCAGUCCAGCUGAGAGCACAUCAGGAUGUCUAUCCUUCAGCAGUGCUGCAAGUGGGAAUUUGUGAAAGGCUCUGCUGAGGAGCUGAAGAAAAGUUGCUAAGUCAAUUCAGACUGGAGGGGGAGAAGUGGGAGAGGAUUUUUCUAUCACUGGUUGCAUAUGUCCUUGGGGACUUAAAGAUGAUCUUGACUUUUUUCAGCCUGAAAAUUUGCUAUUUUAAAACAUCAAUGUUGGCUCAUGCUAAUUCACCAAGAGAUCAAGUGACUUUGCAGGGGUGGGCAGGUGAGGGGGAAGUAGGGUGUGGUAGAGGGGAAUGUUUAUGGAAUAAUGAAAUGGACACAGGAUGGGGGGUGGUGGGGGGUCAAAAAUAUAGGUUUAAUCUCUGUUUUGUCCAUGAGUGGUUAUGUGAUCAGUUGAUGCGACUUAUCAGCCAGGGCCUUUGUGCCUCUAUCUGUCCUAUGGGAGCAACACAGGGAUGUGCAGAAAUUAUUACAGGCCAUAGAUUUGAGUGUGUUUGCAGCACACAGGGGGUGUGAAGCCACUGCCCCCACAGUUGGCCAGUGCAGGCAGUAUUGGUUCUACAGCCUCUGCGGUGUCCAGGGGAUACUUCUGAGGAAGGGAAACAGAAAAGAGAGCUGUAGAAGAUUCAGAGCCUUAUUCCAGGCAGGUGCUCUCCUCUUGAUGAUUCAGCCAGGGAGCUUGCCCUUCCUGCCCAGAUGACAGGAUUUCAUGGCAGGCAUUAAAACGCUUCUUCCAUUAUAAAGCAAGUCAGUUGUGGGUAGAAGGGAAGGGAAGGAUGGAGCAGGCUCUGGAGAACAUGCAGCCCUAGUGUGGAUGUUGGGUGAGAUGGCAUUGAAGCACAGGGAGGGGGAGGUGCAGAAUGCUCAGACUGCUAGAGGAAGAAGGGAAGGCAAAACUGGAAAGGGAGGUGAAUCAGGCAAGCAGAGUGAGCCCUCAGGAUACGCAGCUGAGCCCUGGUGAUAGCUGACAUCCAGCUCCUGCAGAGGGAGUCUGAGUUUCCCCUGUAAUCUGUGUAUCAGGAAGGCAGAGCUCAUGGGUUGGGGGCCCCCAGGUCCGGGAGCUGUGGGAGCAGAGUGAAAAAACUCAGCAAUCAAAAUAAUUGAUAUUUUAAUAAAUAAAAAUUAAUGCAAUUAAUCAUGAUGCACUAAAAAAGUUAAAUAAAGACAAAAU